rnacentral:rRNA from 1 species
UACGAAGGGGGCGAGCGUUGUUCGGAUUUACUGGGCGUAAAGGGCGCGCAGGCGGCCAUUCAAGUCAGGCGUGAAAGCCCCGGGCUUAACCUGGGAGGUGCGUCUGGGACUGGGUGGCUAGAGAUCGGGAGAGGAGAGUGGAAUUCCCAGUGUAGAGGUGAAAUUCGUAGAUAUUGGGAAGAACACCAGUGGCGAAGGCGACUUACUGGACACAUAUUGACGCUGAGGUGCGAAAGCGUGGGGGAGCAAACAGG